rnacentral:rRNA from 1 species
AUUGAACGCUGGCGGCAUGCCUUACACAUGCAAGUCGAACGGCAGCACGGGAGCAAUCCUGGUGGCGAGUGGCGAACGGGUGAGUAAUAUAUCGGAACGUGCACAGACGUGGGGGAUAACGAAGCGAAAGCUGUGCUAAUACCGCAUACGAUCUAUGGAUGAAAGCGGGGGCUCGCAAGACCUCGCGCGAUUGGAGGGGCGGAUAUCAGAUUAUCUAGUUGGUGAGGUAAAGGCUCACCAAGGCGACGAUCUGUAGCUGGUCUGAGAGGACGACAAGGCACACUGGAACUGCUACACGGUCCAGACUCCUACGGGAGGAAGCAGUGGGGAAUUUUGGACAAAGGGCGAGAGCAUGAUCCAGCAAUGCCGAGUGCAGGAUGAAGGCCUUCGUGGUGUAAACUGCUUUUGUACGGAACGUAACGGUGAGCUCAAAUACAGUUUGCUAAUGACGGUACCGUAAGAAGAAGAACCGGCUAACUACGUGCCAGCAGCCGCGGUAA